rnacentral:rRNA from 1 species
UACGGAGGGUGCAAGCGUUAUCCGGAUUCACUGGGUUUAAAGGGUGCGUAGGCGGGCAGGUAAGUCCGUGGUGAAAUCUCUGAGCUUAACUCAGAAACUGCCAUGGAUACUAUUUGUCUUGAAUAUUGUGGAGGUAAGCGGAAUAUGUCAUGUAGCGGUGAAAUGCAUAGAUAUGACCCGGAACACCGAUUGCGAAGGCAGCCCACUAAGCAAUGAUUGACGCUGAGGCACGAAAGCGUGGGGAUCAAACAGG